rnacentral:snoRNA from 1 species
AGCAUCAGAGGACGAAAUCUCAUUACAAUCUUAGGACACCUUCUGACACAGUGCUGUUACCCUGCAUUGUGAAUGAGAAGGCUUUUUUUUCUGAUGAUGAU